rnacentral:lncRNA from 1 species
GUGAGCUUUUAAACUACUGUAUUGUGGAGCCCGCACUUCAGAAGUUAAAAAAGAAAUGCCGUGUGUGUGUGUGUGUGUGUGUGUGUGUGUGUGUGUGUGUGUGUGUGUGUGUGUGUGUAGGAUACAAAUCUAUUCUCAGGUUUUGAAACACCGUGCACACAUCCACGGUUGUUUAAAUAGAACUACAACUGUUCUCUUCCCCCUCCCCGCCCCCACCGCCCCUCUCCCCCGUAACUGUGUUGUUCACUUAAAGAUCCAUGAUUGUUAGACUUCAUAUGCUAAAGUGACAUUACUGGUCUCCUUACAGCCUCUAGUGGACGGUUAAAGUGAGUUUCCUGUGGAGGCUCUGUCUAGUUUUGUUUUCCCUUCUGCACUUUCUCCAGGUGAAGGUUAAUAGUUCAGAGCUUAACUGACUGCUAUCUUUCACUCCCUCUUGGUAAAGCUGUCUUUGAAACUGAACAGAAGCUUGUUGGCUGCGUGUGGAAGAGAGGCGUCUGCUUUGUGCUACAGGGUUUGGUCCAGAUGCUCAUGGCUGGCCCACCAGUACCUCUCAGAAACGCACCCUGAAAUGCCAUGACACUGAGAGCCACAGACUACACUGGUUGCGAUGGCUGAGAGAUUACCUUCCGGGAUAAUGGCACUCGGACUAGAACUGUAAAUUACAAACACUCUCUUCUAAACUACAGAAUGAACA